rnacentral:lncRNA from 1 species
UCCAAGAUGCUGUCAAAAUUAAAACAAUAUGGCUACUGGAAGGCAAACAUUGAAUAUUAUUCUAUCAGGUUCUUAUGGUUUUAGAUCAUUUUAGUUGUUGUACAAAGAUUAAUUUAACAUUUUCUCUGGAAGUAUUAAUUUAGAAAGAUAAUAUGCCUCAUUGGUGUUGUGUUUUGAAGUGUGAAAUGCAAAGUAAUCGUGAUAAAGUUAGCUUUUACCACUUACCAUCAGUGCUACAUUCUAAGCACAAAACUGAACCAAUUUAACUAAAUAAGUUAUAGUUAUCAUCUGAGAGACAACAACAAUGGUAAAAUGCAAUAAAAUAUAAAGAUUUUACUAGCAAAAUGGAAAUUCCCCUGUAAUCAUCUUAUAUCUGGAAAACCAGCCGACUUAACUGAUAAUAACAAUCCAGAUUGGGUUCCUUCAAUAAAUAUGGGGUAUAUAAACACAAUGAAAUGAGUUCCCCAAAAUCUAAAAUGGGAAUUAAGGUACCAAAGGAGAAUUAAAAGAAAAGGGUACCUACAAGAAAAAA